rnacentral:rRNA from 1 species
CCUACGGGGGGCAGCAGUGGGGAAUAUUGCGCAAUGGGCGAAAGCCUGACACAGCGACGCCGCGUGAGGGAUGAAGGUCUUCGGAUCGUAAACCUCUGUCAGCAGGGAAGAACGGUCACUGUGCUAAUCAGCAGUGAAUUGACGGUACCUGCAAAGGAAGCACCGGCUAACUCCGUGCCAGCAGCCGCGGUAAUACGGAGGGUGCGAGCGUUAAUCGGAAUUACUGGGCGGAAAGCGCUCGUAGGCGGUAUGUCAAGUCAAGGGGGAAAUCCCCGCGCUCAACGUGGGAACUGCCUUUGAAACUGGCAAACUGGAGUGUGUGAGAGGAUAGUGGAAUUCCAGGUGUAGGAGUGAAAUCCGUAGAUAUCUGGAGGAACAUCAGUGGCGAAGGCGACUAUCUGGCACAUAACUGACGCUGAGGAGCGAAAGCGUGGGUAGCAAACAGGAUUAGAUACCCCGGUAGUC